GGAGGCUGGAGGCUGGAGGCUGGUCCGGAGCGGUGAAAGGAUGCUCCAGCUGUCUGCAGGUUAUCUGGAGGAUGAUCUGGUCGGGCGUGGCCUCUGGAAAACACCCUGAGCAAGAAACACUAAGAGCAAGGAAACCAUGGAACCAAUCAGAAGAAAACAUCUGAGACUUCAAUCUGAGAUGCUCCUGUAUGAUAAAGCACUGGAGAUGGUGUAACACUGAUGGUGUUAACAUGGUGUUUAUUAGGGCCUGAGCACCGAAGGCGCAUUUUUUACACGUUUUUCACACAUUUUUCACGAACUCCUCCUAAAGGUUUUGUCAGAUUACCUCAAAAGUGGAUCUCAAUAGACUCCAGACAUGGAGACAUGGUGAUAAAUUGCGAAGAAAUAAUCGAUAGCUGAAACAAUGGCAUAAUGGCAGUCCGUUAAUUUUAUUGGAGACGCAACACUAGACCAAAUGGAAACAUGAGCAUGGUCAGAACACAGCUACUUAGAAAUUCAUGAAACUUGGCAGAAACAUAAGAGAUAUCAUUGCACAUGUCAUCAGUAUUGGUAUGACUGACUCCGCCCAACAGGAAGUUGAUCAUUUUGAAAUAUGUGCAUUUCACACAUAUUUUUUGCAUACUUUGACAAACUCCUCCUAGGGAAUUUGUCAAAUAAAAAUAUUGUUAUUUGCAAGCAAUACAUUUGAUAAAUCAAAUAUAUCUGAUGAUAAAUUCUGAAGGAAUAGUUGAAUUGCUUGAGAAGCCCAUCGAAACAGGAAGUGGAAACAUCUAGGUAAAGCUAGGUGUUUUGAAGUGGUUACAAUAGAUGAAAACUCAUGAUACUUCACAGGCUUCCUUGUUUUACGCUGUCCUUUGAUCUGAAAUUAGAACUUAGUAUAUUUGUAUUUCGUCAGUUCUAUAGCGCCACCUAGGCUUUUAGUCCCUUUUUAUUAUUUCAAAAAUGCACAAAGAGUCUCACCAAGACCUCAAAAUGGUUUCAAAACAUUUUGACAAUUUUCUAACAUGUAGCUAGAGGACUCUACAGUGCCCCCUAUUUUGUUCAGCUAAUAAAUUUGCUGUUCUCCAAUAUUAUUGAAUUCCGGUCGGAACAUAGAUAUUAUGAUGCAGUACGUAUUAGCCAUUGAAUUGCAUUAGUUCCACCCAACCAGAAGUCAUCCAUCUUGAAAGAUAUCUUGUUUACUGCAGAAAGAAGUAGGCAUUACAUGAGUUCCUGAGUUUGCCAAAAGGUAAAUGUGAUUAACUGUACAUUUCGUGAGAAAUCACAUAUGGGUCCCACUUUAACUGAUUUCUCUGUUUGGCCCUGUAAGAUUUGCGCCGUUGUGCGAGGGCCCUACAUCCGCCUUCGUUUUUAUUUUUUUUUAUUUUACUACAUUUCAUAGGCUCACAAGAGCAGACAGUAGUUACACUUAGUUGUGCAAUUGUAUCAUUACCCAAUUUAUAUCUACAUGGUUUUUAAAUAUAAAAUUAUUUUUGCAGAUUUUUUCUCCAUAUAAAAAGUUUUGCCACCCCUCUUAUUUUCAUGUCUGGAGCUGAAGGUGGCUCUGUCUCUCCUACACUCAGCUCUACCUGUGAUCUCCAGUCUUUGGCCUACAAUACCCAGAAUGCACCUCACACUGACCUCACUCCCUCAUGCGAUCACACACUGACUCUGCACACAACACUAUCAGGAAGCAAAUCACCAGAAUAUUGGUCACACCUGUUCACCUCCCCGUAAAUACACCUUCACUUGUAAGUUAUCCUCUUUACAAAGCGUUAUCUCAUUUCCUGAUUUUUGCCAUCCUGUUACCACCCUGUUUCUGUACCUUGUCGAAUUUGAUUUUUGUGUAUAACCUUUAUACUGCUAUUCGUUUAUGGUAUGUUUAUUCUCUUUGGCGACUCUUUACCGUUAUUGAACCUGCUUGCUUUGACUAUUCAUUGUAUCCCUAAUUUAUUUAAUAAAGUAUUUGAUUCACAUCUGUGCAUUUUACAAGUAGCACCCAACCAACAACUUGCCGAGCACCUGAGACACCAUAGCAACCAUCUGAAAUGCCAUUGAAACUCCAUAGAAACCACCUAGCAUCAACAUUGCAACCACUAAAUAACCCUAUAACAACUGCCUGAAAUAAUCACCCUGAAAUCACCUUUCCAUCAUUUAAGGUAUGAAAACAGACAGUUCGCAAGGUGUAAUAUAGCAAUGAGCAUUGCUACUUGCCUUGCACAACGUGUAAGAUAGAGCUCUUGCUCUUCCUUUCCUCGGGCAGUCCUGAUGAGAGCCAGUUUCAUCAUCAUCAUAAUGUUUUUGAUGGUCUUAGUGACUGCACUUGAGGAUACUUACCUACUUGAGUUCUUGAAAUGUUUUUUUUUUCUACUUACUUAACUAGUUGUUGCUUCUCAUAACCUGGAUUAGGACAUUACUCAAAUAUUCACUAUUCACUGUAUACCUGUAACUCUACCUCUUCACUACUUUACUUUAACUGAUGCUCUCAAACACUUUAUUAAGAGACAAGAAAUUCAAGUAAUUAACUCUUGAUGAGUUCAGCACAGCUGUUAACUGAAAGCCUGAAUUCCAGGUGACUCUACCUCAUAAAACU